AAUACAGAGGGUGCGAGCGUUGUCCGGAAUCACUGGGCGUAAAGGGCGCGUAGGCGGCUUGGUAAGUAGGGGGUGAAAUCUUGCGGCUCAACUGCAAGGCUGCCUCCUAAACUGUCAGGCUUGAGCACAGUAGAGGCAGGUGGAAUUCCCGGUGUAGCGGUGGAAUGCGUAGAGAUCGGGAAGAACAUCGGUGGCGAAGGCGGCCUGCUGGGCUGUUGCUGACGCUGAGGCGCGACAGCGUGGGGAGCAAACAG
rnacentral:rRNA from 1 species